CACGGCGCACGGGUGCGUAACACGUGGGCAACCUGCCCUUGGAUGGGGGAUACCCCGCGAAAGCGGGACUAAUACCGCAUGAUAUUCCCCUCGGCAAAGCCCCGUCUAAGGAGGGGCCCGCGCCCGAUUAGCUAGUUGGUGAGGUAACGGCUCACCAAGGCUUUGAUCGGUAGCCGGUCUGAGAGGAUGGCCGGCCACACUGGAACUGAGACACGGUCCAGACUCCUACGGGAGGCAGCAGUGGGGAAUAUUGCGCAAUGGGCGAAAGCCUGACGCAGCGACGCCGCGUGGGGGAUGAAGCUUUUCGGAGUGUAAACCCCUUUCGACCCGGACGAAUGACGGUACGGGUAUAAGAAGCCCCGGCUAACUACGUGCCAGCAGCCGCGGUAAUACGUAGGGGGCCAGCGUUGCUCGGAAUUACUGGGCGUAAAGGGUUCGUAGGCGGUGCGGCAAGUUGGGAGUGAAAUCUCUGGGCU
rnacentral:rRNA from 1 species